UACGGAGGGUGCAAGCGUUAUCCGGAUUCACUGGGUUUAAAGGGUGCGUAGGCGGGCAGGUAAGUCCGUGGUGAAAUCUCCAAGCUUAACUUGGAAACUGCCGUGGAUACUAUUUGUCUUGAAUAUAGUGGAGGUGAGCGGAAUAUGUCAUGUAGCGGUGAAAUGCUUAGAUAUGAUAUAGAACACCCAUUGCGAAGGCAGCUCGCUACACUAUUAUUGACGCUGAGGCACGAAAGCGUGGGGAUCAAACAGG
rnacentral:rRNA from 1 species